AUUGAACGCUGGCGGCAUGCUUUACACAUGCAAGUCGAACGGCAGCGGGGGCUUCGGCCUGCCGGCGAGUGGCGAACGGGUGAGUAAUGCAUCGGAACGUGCCCAUGUCGUGGGGGAUAACGUAGCGAAAGCUACGCUAAUACCGCAUACGCCCUGAGGGGGGAAAGCGGGGGGAUUCUUCGGAACCUCGCGCGAUUGGAGCGGCCGAUGUCGGAUUAGCUAGUAGGUGAGGUAAAGGCUCACCUAGGCGACGAUCCGUAGCGGGUCUGAGAGGAUGAUCCGCCACACUGGGACUGAGACACGGCCCAGACUCCUACGGGAGGCAGCAGUGGGGAAUUUUGGACAAUGGGCGCAAGCCUGAUCCAGCCAUGCCGCGUGAGUGAAGAAGGCCUUCGGGUUGUAAGCUCUGUCGAGCGGGAAGAAAUAGUACCAUGGCUAAUAUCCAUGAUAUUUGACGGUACCGCUAGAGGAAGGCACCGGCUAACUCCGUGACCG
rnacentral:rRNA from 1 species